GAUGAACGCUGGCGGCGUGCUUAACACAUGCAAGUCGAACGGAAAGGCCCAAGCUUGCUUGGGUACUCGAGUGGCGAACGGGUGAGUAACACGUGGGUGAUCUGCCCUGCACUUCGGGAUAAGCCUGGGAAACUGGGUCUAAUACCGGAUAGGACCACAUGCUGGAUGGUGGGGUGGAAAGUUUUUCGGUGUGGGAUGAGGCCGCGGCCUAUCAGCUUGUUGGUGGGGUAAUGGCCUACCAAGGCGUCGACGGGGAGCCGGCCCGAGUGGGGGGACGGCCACAGUGGGACUGGGAUUGGGCCCAGACCCCUACGGGAGGGAGCAGUGGGGGAGAUUGACAAAGGGGCGGGAGCCUGAUGCCGCGACGGCGCGGGGGGGAUGACGGUCUUCGGGUUGGAAACGCCUUUCGCUAGGGCCGAAGCGGUAUGUGACGGUACCUGGAGAAGAAGCACCGGCUAACUACGUG
rnacentral:rRNA from 1 species